rnacentral:rRNA from 1 species
UGCACAAUGGAGGAAACUCUGAUGCAGCGAUGCCGCGUGAGUGAAGAAGGCCUUUGGGUUGUAAAGCUCUUUUGUAGGGGAAGAUAAUGACUGUACCCUAAGAAUAAGGUCCGGCUAACUUCGUGCCAGCAGCCGCGGUAAUACGAAGGGACCUAGCGUAGUUCGGAAUUACUGGGCGUAAAGCGCGCGUAGGCCGUUGAGUUAGUUAAUUGUGAAAUCCCAAAGCUUAACUUUGGAACUGCAAUUAAAACUGCUCGACUAGAGUUUGAUAGAGGAAAGCGGAAUACAUAGUGUAGAGGUGAAAUUCGUAGAUAUUAUGUAGAACACCAGUUGCGAAGGCGGCUUUCUGGAUCAACACUGACGCUGAGGCGCGAAAGUAUGGGUAGCAAAGAGGAUUAGAUACCCUCGUAGUCCAUACCAUAAACGAUGAUUGCUAGAUGUUGGAAAUUUAUUUUCAGUAUCGCAGCUAACGCAUUAAGCAAGCCGCC